CCCUUAGAUGUUCUGGGCCGCACGCGCGCUACACUGAAGGAGGCAGCGUGUACUCCUGGAUCGAAAGAUUUGGGUAACCCGCGAAUCUCCUUCGUGCUAGGGAUUGAGGUUUGCAAUUAUCCUUCAUGAACGAGGAAUUCCCAGUAAGUGCAAGUCAUAAGCUUGCGCUGACUACGUCCCUGCCCUUUGUACACACCGCCCGUCGCUACUACCGAUUGAAUGAUUUAGUGAGGACUUCGGACUGGGACCGAUGCGGCUUUCGGGCUGCGUCGGUAUUCUGGAAAGAUGUCCAAACUGUAUCAUUUAGAGGAAGUAAAAGUCGUANCA
rnacentral:rRNA from 1 species